rnacentral:rRNA from 1 species
UACGUAGGGGGCAAGCGUUGUCCGGAUUUAUUGGGCGUAAAGAGCGUGUAGGCGGCCAACCAGGUCAGCUGUGAAAACUCGAGGCUCAACCUCGAGACGUCGGUUGAAACCGUUUGGCUAGAGUCCGGAAGAGGAGAGUGGAAUUCCUGGUGUAGCGGUGAAAUGGGCAGAUAUCAGGAGGAACACCAAUGGCGAAGGCAGCGCGCUGGGACGGUACUGGCGCUGAGACGCGAAAGCGGGGGGAGCAAACAGG